AUAUCCCUAACUCCUCCAAGUAAAAGCUCCUCUGAUUCUUCUCUCUCUCUCUCUCUCUCUCUCUCUCUCUCUCUCUCUGCAAUUAGACUUGGAAUUCUAGUAGUUUUUUCUUGCAUUUUGUUCAGCAGGAGAUGCUUCAUUUCUCAUCUAAUUCAACAUGAUGGUGGUCUAUUAGUAGGCGGCAGCAGGGCUGGGCCCAAGAUGGAGGAGGUGGACUAAGGCUAUGGUGGGUUUACUAGAAAAGAAGAUUGAAGAAAUGCAAUUGGAAGAGAUGCAACUUCAAUUGAAAGAAACUGAAAAGAUGUUAGUGAAGGAACAAGAGGCUAUGGACCGUGGUCACUUUCAAGGCCAUUCUUUUGAUAUUGUAUUAGCCUUUCAGGUAUGUAUAUUUAUUUUUUAAGAUUUGCCUAUGUAUACUUGAGCACCUUGUUCCUUUCUAUACUUAUCCAUGUAUUGAUCUAAAGUUUAUAUUGCCAACCUUGAACAGUUUGUUGGGCUGGCAAAAGCAUAGUGGGGCUCCUAGAGGUACUCAGAAAUUUUAUACAUGGUAUACAUUAACUCCAGUAAAAUAGUCUAACUUGAGGGGCCCACUAUAGAUAGGUCAUCAUCCAAAUUUUAGAUUGUAUAAACGACCCUAACCUCUGACUAUGGGAAAUUGUUUAUUUAACUUGGGCCAUCCAUUAAAUGUCGAUCAACCAACCUCCUAGAUAUCAAAUUAGUGUAUUUUUCAUGUUUCACAAGCCAUCUAAAUUGGGACCUACAAUAUGAACAGUUUAAUUUAAGAUACUACUAUGCCACAUGUGUAGUUUCUUAAUGCUUGUGUAUCAACCAACACACCAUUGUUUUAUUGAUCCAAGCUCUUCAUGAAAUUAAUAAUUUCAUGGUAAAUUUUGUACAUGGGCCUGAAUGCAGAUGUGAAGUUGGGCAACACAAGGACUGUAGCAUAAGCUCUUGCAAGGUCCAAACAGGGUUAGCAAUGCUAUUCUUGUUUUUAUUUGACCAUAUCCUUGCAACUUGCUAGUUCAAUUUAACUUUGAUGAUGUGCAACCAUGCUUUGGUAAAUUUUUGCACUAGAGUUAGCUAUCAAAACUUCAGAUGAGAAUGCAAACAAGGAUCGAUCAUAGAGAGUUUUCCAGAUGACUGAAAUUGAUGAUUUGCAAGCCCCUCGUGACCUUCCUCUUGCACAACUUUGUAUCAAGGUUUGAUUCAUCAUCCUGAGCUGUUUAUAGUUUUGUUGAAAACUUAAAUGUCUAAACAUGUUUGUUGCAUUAGGACACGAGUACUCUAAUUUUUAAGUAUAUAACUUCCUGGCUGUUUAUAUGAUGUUUGUGUUUAUACGAAUGAAUAUUUCUUUGAAACUGUUUAUUGAUUUGAUAAUCUGUGUUAGAAACUAGGAAGUAUUUCUUGUGGUUAUUUCAUUUGAUUGUGCUAACUUAAAUUUGAAUUAUCCAUAGUUUUCUGCAUCAGUUUUGGUCGAUUUGUAAUUAUUGAGGUCAUUUUCUAUGGCCUAGAUUAUCAUAUUUCAACUGGAGUAGAAUUUUUGGUGGAUCUCAACAUACUUUACGCACAAAACUCACAUUCUCACAAGAAUCACAUGGUAUGACUGAGAUUCCAACCUAUGACUUUGCAAGAAAAUGAAACAUCACAAAGGAAGCUGGACCUGUAAGCAUGAUUUUCACCAUACUAAUAUAUAAUGCUUCAAAGCUUCAUGUGAGUUGGUCUUUUGACUAUAAAGGAAAAUUCUACAUGCUUCUUUCGUCAUUUGUUUCUUUUUUUUUCUUGAGAGGUAAGCUGAGCGAAUCCUGGUUAAUGUUGAAAACACCAUCUACAAAACAUUGAGUUA